AAUGAGAGUAAAACUAUGACCCUUUCUCAAUUGUAUAUUCCUUGAGUCAUCUCUCCUGUCUCCUCGUCUCCUUCUCCAAACCCAUAUGAGGAGAAAGUCAGAAGGGAGAGACCUAUAACUUACUCAUCCAAUGGGUUUUGAGAAGGAGACGGUGAGUGGGGAGAGAGGACGCGAGGAGUAUGCAAUUGAGCAUCUCCUUAUCACUAGGGUGCGGCAGGAGACGGGAUGGGAUGGACCGUAAACAACUUUUGUCAAAUUGAAGUCGAACGAUUUGAUCCCCAGUCAUCUCUAGCCUACUCAUCAGGGGAGUCUAACCAACAGUCCAACGAACCAGUUGCAUUUGAUCUACAAUCUUUAAGUCAACUAUGGUUUUAACAGCGCACUGGUUAACGUUAGGUGUUGGUCAAUAUGCCCUUACAGUGGGAGCAGCAACAGUCUCCACGCCUGCUCUGUUGGGUCUGGGGGUAAUAGCUGCUGUCACAGUUGGCUGCUAUUACGUCUACAAAACUGGUCAUGAGAAAGAAAAGGGUAACCAGAAGAACGCAUGAUGUGACCCGCCCCCUGCUGGAGGAUUCAGACAUCACAGCAGAACUCCACAACGCUAGAUAAUCAUAGUUUGUGUGUUCCAAGGUGUUGUUGUGUUGAGAACAUGGAAUUGCGUUAAAAAUGAAAUAUGCAGUUGCAUUUUCACAUGUGAUAAUUAUGAUUCCUUUUACUAAAUACAGCUACAUUUCCCAAACAACUAUUUAGGGCUGUAAACACAAUGUCUACUUAGAUACAAAUAAUGGAAUUGAACAUAAAAGAAGUAUGGCUUAAUACAUAUCAUUUAGUUUGAUACAUAAAUAGGCAAGUCUUUUACUUAUUUCUACAAAUGCUAAAUGAAAAACAUGAAUUGAACAGCUUGAGUGUAUGGAAGCACAAAAUAAUGGUAAUACAUUAUAUCUGGUUCAUUGACGUGAACUCAGCCUCUUCUAGUUACAUCACAAUGUAUUACCUGGUCAAACUACAACUAGUGUCGUGUCUUUGGCAUCAUUCAACUGAACACUUAUUUUGAUCAAAAAAAUUCUCUGUAAUUAUUACGUGAUUAAACUAACUAAUCAUGUAACUGUGAUUAACUAGGUAGUCGGGGGAACCAAGAAAAAUAUUCAGAUUACAAAGUUAGAAUUUUCCUAAUAUAACUUUCAGAUAUUUUAAUAUCUGAUCAAUUAGUCUUCUAAUGAAUGAAUUAUUCUUUACCUCACGUUAGUCUCAUUCCAAACGUCGUAAAUUGUUGAUUAUCUGCACGAACAGUCUUUACUAUGAGUCAUCCAUACAUCAAUUGUCUUAAAUCAUUUAUUUACUAACUAAAUAAUCACAGAAAUGUAUAAACAAACAAACAGAUAUAGUUACAAGGAAAUGAUAGCGGAGUUUCUCUAGUGGGAUAAACCGGUAUCGCGGAUUGGUGGACAAAAGGGAAGUGGGGGUCGACUGAGAUAAAAGACACUACAAAGUUGAUUAUCAUAACAAUUGAAAUGCUAAUAUUUUGCACAUGAAUGGUCACUCAUUCGGUAAUAAUUGCAAUCAAUAUAUAUAUUUACACUCAGUGUGUCGUCGUGAUCUCUGUUGGAAAGUUUGUUACUUUUGGAUUGGUUGUCCGCCCUCUCGCUGUCUGCGGUGGUUAGAAUGGCUAGUUCAGAGUAACAUUCAGCAAUGUUGUUAUAGAAUAGAUGUUUCGGCGGUUGUCAGUCUUCUUUAGCCUUAGCCCUCUCGUGGUUAUCGAGGUAAGCUGGUCUCUACUCAAACCUUAGCCCUCUCGUAAUUGAGAGAAGCAUGGUCUCUAGAUAAAUUCCCAUGGUGGGGGUUAUAUUCAGAAGGGCAGAAAAAGGCUGUCCUAUGACACCAGAUCAAUGUCUGUACUCAUGGGGAGGGCCAAUAACUUAGUUCACUUUAAAGGGAAUUGGGUUCCCUAUCAUUAAACAGUUUAAAAUCACAUUACAUAAGUUCACAAAUAGUUUCAUCUUUACUCAUUCAUUUUACACAACAAUUAGAUGCAAGCCUCAUAACUGAGACUCUCGUAUAAACAGGGUUAUGGUAAUGUGGCUGUAUUGUCUCUCAUGAGUUUCACAAACAUUAAACGAAUUGGACGGGUCAUAGCUGGAUUCUUCACCGACGGUGUACACCUUCUCCAAAACAUGUACAUUGUUCAGUCCUCAAGUUCUAUAUUGUGGAAGAAAUUCCUUUGUUCUCCCUAUAAAAACUCUCUCUCUAUACUGUCUGGCCAUGAGGAAGAAUCUCCUCCAGGAACUUACGACCUGAGAUAACAGCAGCCUGGGUGUAGGAGAGAGGGGGGGGGUGUUGCUCGCUGUACCCAAAGAGUGCAACGUCGUGACACUAGGGAGGAGCUACCCAUCAGAUUAGGUGUACGAUUCACUUUGACUUUCACCUCUGCAGGCCGUCAUUGUAAGUAAGAAUUUGUUCUUAACUGACUUGCCUAGUUAAAUAUAGGUUAAAUAAACACAUUUAAAUAGAACAGAGAUAGAGGGCACCUGACCUGACACUGGACAAGAGAGCACCUGUAUUCGAAACCUUUAUAGACAUAUUCAUUUAAAAGGAAAUACUCAGGCAAGAUGGUCCAAGCAUUCUCAGUGUAGCUACUGUAAAAUCUGGUUGGUUUCACGUAGAACCUUUUACACAGAGAGUUCUACAUGGAACCCAAAAGAGUUCGACCUGGAACCAAAAAGGGUUCAGGAAAAGAAGAAUUACAUUAAAUGUACUGUCUAUCACUUAUCUGAUAUUCUGAAAUAUGGUAAAUGGCCAUUGCAACAAAAACAAGGGAAAAAAAGUUCAACAUUAUCUGAAAGUAGACUGUUAGAUAAAAACAGUUACUGAAAAAAAGACAAUGCAUUUCUCUAGUUUGCUAUAGCUACUGUUAUCUGAAUUACCACUGGUCAUAUUUAAUAGUUUCUUUCCCCUUUACCUGUGAAAGACCUUGGGACUAAAUAUAUAUCUUGUAUGUUAUUUGUUUCCAUUUGGUCAUUAAAACUUCUUGUUGAUGCAUAAUUUGUUUAAUUGAAAAAUGUGUUGAACAUAAA